AGAUCUGAAAACAUCAAGUGCAAGUUUUACCUUAGGCUGUCCUCCAGGGUCUCCUCAUCUGAAGAGAAGGUCCCAUCGCUGACACUCGGAGGACAGCGGCUCCUGCACCCAGCAGACGCCUCCGGGGACCCGGAUGGGCCUUUCUUUUUCCUUUUGCCGAACAACUUCUUAAAUGGUUGGAACCUUCCUCCCUUCUUCUUGGCUGUGGAUCACAAGGUCUGCCUUUACGGAGCUCACAGAAAAUCAGAUGGGAAAAAGAAGUGGUUUCGACUACUUCGCCCUAAGCUGUGGCGUGAAAGAGUGAGGAAGCAGAAGGAACAAUCACCAGUUACAGAGACAGUCUGGGAUCCUUAAUACAGGGAACCUUUCAGAAUUUGAACACACUGCUGUCAUUAUCAUUCUCUAAAAGAGCAAAGAAAGAUGCUCCCCAAACCUGUUGGCUGCGGAAACUUGACUUUCUGGACAUCGAUCACAACUAGCGUUCCUUUGAAGGUACUCUGGGAAAUGAAGUCUUCAUUAUUCCUUUCAAAUGUCUUUAUACACAGCUCCCCCAAUUCCAGAGCACACUGCUCAUAAGCAUGAGUGAGUGGACUGCAACAUUUGGGGCCUUACUGGUUGGAUAAACGUAAUGUUUCAGUAAGGCUGUGAUUUCAAACAUGUAUGUAAAUAGCACAUAUUAGGAUACAGUACAGAGCAACUGCCUGCAUCCUAUAAGUUUACUACUUUAAGAGGAAUUUUGCAGGGCUUUUCUUAGUUCUGGAACCUCAUAAUACUUCUGAGGAGAAACUGUGGGAUUAAAAUAGAAUGACUAGAGGGGCCACUGAUGCACAAAUACUGGGUGGUUAGCACAUCUUUACAAAUACUGGGUGACUGGCAGAUCUUUACAAAUUCUGGAUGGCUGGCAGAUCUUUACUGGACCCCAUGGUCCCAGGGUAUGUCAGUUAAGACACAGGGACUGGCAACAUGUCUGAUGGCCUGCCCUCUCUGGGGUUGCAUGAUGACAAGACUGAGGACUGAGGUCCCCUUGCAGAGAGGAGGGCAGGGUGACAGGGCAAGUUACAGGGGAAAAGGAAUGCUUUUCUUCUUUCCUGGGGAAGCAUGGAGGGAGGUAUAUAUUGUUUUGCUUUGCUGAUUCAGAAAAUGAAGAUACAGGACCAACAACACAAUUUUAUUUUUUUUAUUUAUUUUUUUGCUUUUUAGGGCUAUACCUGAGGCAAUUGGAGGCUCCCAGGCCAGGGGUCCAAUUGGAGCUACAGCUGCCGACCUACACCACAGCAGCAGCAACGCCAGAUCCGAGCUGCGUCUGCGACCUAUACCACAGCUCAAGGCAACGCCGGAUCCUUAACCCACUGAUUGAGGUUAGGAAUCGAAUCUCAUGGUUCCCAGUUGGAUUCAUUUCCGCUGCACCAUGAUGGGAACUCCACAACAACACAAUUUUAAAAGAAGGUGGGGAUCCUGGGACAAAUUCCUGAGGAGGACAGAGACUGUGGCUUCCACAAGUCAGGGGUCAGAGGUGAGAUUGUGGCGACUGACCCGAUUCAGGGGUACCAGGCCCCAGGGCAGGUCCACAGCCUCCAUCUGCUUUGAUCCCUGGGCCAGAAAUGUCACUGCUUCCUCCCCAAGGUGAUGAAGUUCUAUUCAGCCUUCCAAAUCAAUGUCUUCAAGCUGUUCCCAACCCCCCAGCCCAUUUAACCAAUCACAGCUCCCUCCGGCUCCCGUUCACUUUGCUAGUGCUUACGCUGCAUGACACCAUGUGUUAUGAGCUGAACUGGGUCUCACCAGAUUCACAGGUUGAAGCCCUAACCGCUCCCCUCCCAAAACCCUCAGAUGGUGACUGUGUUUGGAGAUGAGGUCUUUAAAGAGGUAAUUAAGGUAGAAGAGGCCAUCGAGCAGGCUCUAGCCCAACAUGACUGGUGUCUUUCAAAGAGGAGAUCAAGACACAGACACACACAGGAAGCCCACGUGAGGACAUGAAGAGAAGACGGCCAUUGACAAGCCACAGAAAGAGGCCUAAGGAGAAAGCAACACCGAUGACACCUGGCCCUGGACAGCUGGCCUGCAAACUCCUGAGCCCCCUGCUCAGCGGUACCGGUCACGGCAGCCCUCGCUAAGUAAUGCACCAGGUGGCGGCUGUGUGCUCCUACAGAGACCCCUCUGCAUCAGCUCCUCUGUGCCACUGUGUCUUUGCACCUUACAGAAGCUCUUCUCUGGGGAGUGCUUCUCUCCCUUUGCCUGGAGAACUCUGGCCAUCCUCCCACACACAACCCCAGGGCCACGCUCUCUGGAAGGCCUUCCUUGACCUCUGCCCAGAAAGAAUGGCUUCCUCCUGUUCUCUGCGUGUGUGUGUGUGUGUAGACACCUGUUGCACAGCGCAUGCCACAGCUCCUGGAUGCAAGUUCCCUGGACCCAGGGCCCACACCGCGUUCAGUCUCUACCUGCAGAACUGAUCACGACCCUGGCGCAAAGCAGACACUCAGUUUACAGAUGGAUAGUCCCUAGGCCCUUAGGGCCAGAUGUGCUGAGAAAUUGGAAGUUUUUAGAUUGCACAGAGGCAUAUUUAGACCCCAAUGGGGCUGUGACAGCACUUGAUAAUCACAUGGCAGUGUUUGUGGAAAACGCUUAUAUUCACCUUAAUUUUUGCUAACAGGAAUUUACGCCAAACUUACAAAGGACCUUUGGGAUUUUCAAAGUAUAGAUAAAGGAUGAUGAUCUCUUUAGGGGAUACGGCCAGCCUGCAAUCAAGCUGGAAAAUGCAAAUGUAAAUGUUCCCAUGUGAUUAAUAUACACUCUCAUCCACAAGAAAUACUAGGCGAGUACAGAAAAUUGCACCCAGCUGAAAUGAGGUGUGUAGGAACAUACAGAAUGCGUGCAUACAGAACACACACACACACAGUCAAACAUCUCCCAUUUCCCCCAGACUGCCACUUGUGUUAGAAGACACACCCACACACACGUGGUAUUACAGCUCUGUCUCCCUGUCCCCCGAAUGUCACAAUAACUCCCAGGUUGAAGCACUCUCAAGCUCUCGUCCACAAGAAAACUUUGGGUCUUUUUCAAGGUCAAGAACCAUAUUUAUUGUAGUAUCAGUAGAUUUUAUUACCAUUUAGCACGUAUAAAACUGUGCUGUUUUUUAUUAGGUUCCUACCCACUUAAAUACAUCACUGAGAAGUCUGCGUGUUGUGCUGUUCUCCAAUUUUUCCCAUUAGCUCUUGAUUUUCACUUUCUGACUUUGCAUAGCUCAUUGAUUUUUAGCCACACGUCAUGUUAUAGACAAAUUGACUGAAUGUACUAAACAGAAACUGCUGAACUAGGUUUGUACUGUACCGAGGCAAGGACCAGUCAAUAAAAAUGUAAACAACUUGGCUGCUUCCUGGGCCCUUUCUUUCUCAAAACCACACCAAUUUCUCAUUUUUCUAGUUUUUCCAAUCAGGCUAUUUCAGAACUCCCGUCUACAUGUUUUACAACAAUUCACAAGAGAAACCAAAUAAUACUGAGCAAUAGUAACAGAGGCAGAAGGGAUUUUUCAUGUGAAGUCUCAGUGUUUGGCCACAUUUCUCCCACAUACUGGAAGGUACGUGGGUGAUGGUUCUUUCUACUGCCAGCUUCUGCCACUUGAGUUUCAGGGGCUGCUGUGGAUCACCGCCUACCUCUGAGUGGAAAAUACUAGCAGGGGAGCUGCCUGCUCCCUGGCCCUGCAGAGUCAGCGCAGCAGCAAAACCCCUUGACAAAGGAAACCUCUGCGCAAGGGCUGUGGGUACGUUCAAUUCAAUACAUAGUAUUGCAUAUCUAACACCUGCAGGACUGGUGACAGGCCUUGCUGGCAGCACUGAUGGGUAAAAUAAAAGCUUUAGCGACAUCUGAGGCUCUAUCUGUCAAGGUUUAAUCAAGGAAACAGAAGCAGCAAGAGGAGUUUUUGCAAGUGCGUGUGCGUGUGUGCAUGCGCACGUGCAAUAUAUUAAGAGAUUUACUGCAAGCGGGAGUUCCCAUCAUGAUGCAGUGGAAAUGAAUCCAACCAGGAACCAUGAAGUUGUGGGUCCGAUCCCUGGCCUCGCUCAGUGGGGUAAGGAUCCGGCGUUGC